GGCCAGAUAGUGUAACGGUAACACGCUUGGACUCGAUACAUUGGGAUGGAGUGAUUCUUCCCUGUUCGAUUCGGGGUCUGGCCC